rnacentral:pre_miRNA from 1 species
AGUUGAAUUGCUGGGUCACAUGGUCAUUUAACUUUUAACGUUUUGAGAAACUGCCAAAGUAUUUUCCAAAGUUGCUGCACCAUUUUACAUUCCCUGCAGCAAC